GCGCUCGCGCCCGCGCUGACAGCUCGCGAACCGACUGCUGCCGGCCGAACCGCCCCGAACAGGGAAGUGCACGGGGAAUUCCAUCGCGCGCCGCGGCCGGGGGACGCGACCGCGCGACCGGCCCAAGCCGCGCUCCAUGUCGCUCCGCCGCGCCCCCACCCCGGGACACACAACAAACAACGAUCUGUGGGACCGCAGGGCCUCCGAGAAGCCCGAGAUCUCCACGCACAAAGUCCACGAUGCGCGCCCCGCGACUCUCGUCCCCUGCCCAGCCUCUUCCAGUGGUGCGCUCCACAAUCGGGCCUCUUCCAUCGGCUCUGCAGCCCGGGGUGAGCGCGCAGGCCGGACCAAACCAUCCGGCUGGAGCCUCCCCAGGCUGCCUUCCACGAUUGGUCAGAAACCAUUUUGGAAGUGGGCAACGGGAACUCGUUUUCACCGGCGAGCUGGAACCUGGAGAGCUGGCACCAGAUACUCUCCUGAUAACGGGGUAGUUGUGUCUGUGGGCUUUUAAGCUUUGGAAUCUUUGAACUGGGUGGUUCUGUGCGCGGAGGUCAUCCGAUGCUUUGUAAGUUAGGGUGGACGCCCGCCUCUUUAAUGCCAUCAGUAUUCACUAUCCCCAAAACUGUCUCCAGACGGGAGCGGUUGUUCCCCCAGGAGGAGAAAAACCGCCCAGUUGAAAAUGACCGUUUUGUCUGAAUUCCCAACUCGGCUAUAAUUCAAAGCGUUUGCCGUGAAGGUUUAUUCCGCAUCAGUCUCCUUAAGCUAGCCAUUCAGAUUCAGGAUUGUGGCCCAAAGGACUAAUGGAGAAUCCAGGUUGGCUCACAAUAUGCACAAGUAAAAUUCAUUCUUUGGGUUACGACUUCAGGCGCUCUGUCUUCUCGACACAAGGAAGAACGAAGCAAGUGCUGUGUCUGCCCAGAUGUUUACAACUGCCACGAAGUCGUCCAGUGCAACCUGCAAGCACCCCCUCUUCCUUAUUGGCUCUAGCUACACAACCUUAGCUUUUCAGAUGAGAACGAUGGUUGUCCACGAAUCCUGACUGACCUAGUGCAUUCUCCUCGGGUGCAGGGUCAUUGGAGAGUGAAUGAGGCUAAUACAUAAAGUAGUACCUAAAAGCUCUAAUGGAGGACUGCGUGGCAACUAUCAAUCACAUUAAACAGGACCCGUGCUUCUAAGGCCUCUUAUGGACAUGACUAAAUGAACUUAACUGUUGUCUCCCGGGAGAUUAUAUGUAUAAAAUUUCUAUCACAAAAAAAA
rnacentral:lncRNA from 1 species